rnacentral:rRNA from 1 species
AUUGAACGCUGGCGGCAGGCUUAACACAUGCAAGUCGAGCGAGAGGCGGACGGGUGAGCAAGGUCGUGGCAACUGCCUGAUGGAGGGGGAUAACGACUGGAAACGGUAGCAAAUACUGCAUACCACCAGAUGUGCUCAGAGGGGAUGAGCUAGUAGGUGGGGUAAUGGCUCACCUAGGCGACGAUCCCUAGCUGGUCUGAGAGGCUGACCAGCCACACUGGGACUGAGACACGGUCCAGACUCCUACGGGAGGCAGCAGUGGGGAAUCUUCCGCAAUGGGCGCAAGCCUGAUGCAGCCAUGCCGCGUGUGUGAAGAAGGCCUUCGGGUUGUAAAACACUUUCAGCGAGGAAGCGUUACUCGCCGAGGAAGCACCGGCUAACUCCGUGCCAGCAGCCGCGGUAAUAC